AAGCGCUCGAAAUAGGAAACGAACAUUCGGUGCGGCUGCGCAGACCGCAGCUGGACGGGACCAUCCCACGGGAACGGUCCCGCGAACACGCAGGCAGCCUCACGAGGUCCCGGGCGCCUGCAGCGUCUGUAUGCAGACUGGGGGCCCAGAGACACAACACGGUUCGGCGGUGGAGACGGGCCACAACAACCAGAGGACGGUGAAUGUCCGCAUACAACAGGAUGACGUUGGACCUCCUUCUCUCACCAUAAGCAAAUGGACAUCAGCUGGUGAAUGGAUGAAUGAAGUGUGGUAACUCUAUACAAUGGAAUAUUGUUCUGCAACGAAAAGGAGUGACGUAAUGUACACAUGCUUCAACAUGGAUAAACCUUGGAAGCAUGUUGCUAAGUGAAGGAAGACACACAUUAAAAGCCACCUGUUCAGAUUUCAUAUAUGUGAGAGUUCCAUAAUGGGCAAAUCCAAAGACAAAAAGCAGAUGAGUGGUUUCCACAGUCUGGGGACAGAGGGUCACGGGAAGUAAUAGCUAAUGGAUAGAGGGUUCCUCUGGGGGUGAUGAAAUGUUCUAAAAUCAAUCGUGGUGAUGGUUGCACAACUCUGUGAAAACACCAAAACAAAACAAAACAUUGAAUUGUACACUUGGAGUGAAUUUUAUGGUAUAUACAUUUCAUCGCAAUAAAGCUGCUGAAAACAUGCUUAGCACAGUGCCUAAUGGGUGUUUCCCAA